rnacentral:rRNA from 1 species
AUUGAACGCUGGCGGCAGGCCUAACACAUGCAAGUCGAACGAGUGGCGGACGGGUGAGUAAUUUCUGGGAACCUGCCUGAUGGAGGGGGAUAACUACUGGAAACGGUAGCUAAUACCGCAUACCAUCAGAUGUGCUCAGAUGGGAUUAGCUUGUUGGGGGGGUAACGGCUCACCAAGGCGACGAUCCCUAGCUGGGCUGAGAGGGUGACCGGCCACACUGGGACUGAGACACGGCCCAGACUCCUACGGGAGGCAGCAGUAGGGAAUAUUGCACAAUGGGCGCAAGCCUGAUGCAGCCAUGCCGCGUGUAUGAAGAAGGCCUUCGGGUUGUAAAGUACUGUCAGCGGGGAGGCGGUACCCGAAGAAGAAGCACCGGCUAACUCCGUGCCAGCCGCCGCGGUAAUAC